rnacentral:hammerhead_ribozyme from 1 species
AUCCAGCUGAUGAGUCCCAAUAUAGGACGAAACGCCCAUCAAACUGGAU